rnacentral:sRNA from 1 species
ACUUUCCGCGGCUUUGACGAGCCCGCAGCGGCCGGACCCGAGCGCUGAGCCGGGCCGAGACUGCACCAUGCAGGAAGCGCCAGCCGCGCUGCCCACGGAGCCAGGCCCCAGCCCCGUGCCUGCCUUCCUCGGCAAGCUAUGGGCGCUGGUGGGGGACCCAGGCACAGACCACCUGAUCCGCUGGAGCCCGAGCGGGACCAGUUUCCUCGUAAGCGACCAGAGCCGCUUCGCCAAGGAAGUGCUGCCCCAGUAUUUCAAGCAUAGCAACAUGGCGAGCUUCGUGCGCCAACUCAACAUGUACGGUUUUCGGAAGGUGGUGAGCAUCGAGCAGGGCGGCCUGCUUAGGCCGGAGCGCGACCACGUCGAGUUCCAGCACCCGAGCUUCGUGCGCGGCCGCGAGCAGCUACUGGAGCGCGUGCGGCGCAAGGUGCCCGCGCUGCGCGGCGACGACAGCCGCUGGCGCCCGGAGGACCUGGGUCGACUACUGGGCGAGGUGCAGGCUUUGCGGGGAGUGCAGGAGAGCACCGAGGCGCGGCUGCGGGAGCUCAGGCAGUGCGGGGGCGGGCGGGGAAAGAGGGGACAGGGGUGGGGGGUUCGGGAUGAGACCAUAACUGGCCAGCCGGCAGUUCUGGGCAG